AGAGUUUGAUCAUGGCUCAGGAUGAACGCUGGCGGCGUGCUUAACACAUGCAAGUCGAACGGAGUUUAGAUGAAGCUUGCGAUUCUAAACUUAGUGGCGGACGGGUGAGUAACGCGUGGGUAACCUGCCUUAUACCGGGGGAUAACACUUAGAAAUAGGUGCUAAUACCGCAUAAGCGCACAGAGCUGCAUGGCUCAGUGUGAAAAACUCCGGUGGUAUAAGAUGGACCCGCGUCUGAUUAGCUAGUUGGUGAGGUAACGGCCCACCAAGGCGACGAUCAGUAGCCGGCCUGAGAGGGUGAACGGCCACAUUGGGACUGAGACACGGCCCAAACUCCUACGGGAGGCAGCAGUGGGGAAUAUUGGACAAUGGGGGAAACCCUGAUCCAAGCGACGCCGCGUGAGUGAAGAAGUAUUUCGGUAUGUAAAGCUCUAUCAGCAGGGAAGAUAAUGACGGUACCUGACUAAGAAGCCCCGGCUAACUACGUGCCAGCCGCUGC
rnacentral:rRNA from 1 species